rnacentral:rRNA from 1 species
GACGAACGCUGGCGGCGUGCCUAAUACAUGCAAGUCGAGCGGAUGAAAGAGGAGCUUGCUCCUCUAGAUUCAGCGGCGGACGGGUGAGUAACACGUGGGCAACCUGCCCUGUAGAUUGGGAUAACUCCGGGAAACCGGGGCUAAUACCGAAUAAUCCUUCGGACCUCAUGGUCCGAUGUUGAAAGACGGCAUCUCGCUGUCACUACAGGAUGGGCCUGCGGCGCAUUAGCUAGUUGGUGAGGUAACGGCUCACCAAGGCCACGAUGCGUAGCCGGCCUGAGAGGGUGAUCGGCCACACUGGGACUGAGACACGGCCCAGACUCCUACGGGAGGCAGCAGUAGGGAAUCUUCCACAAUGGACGAAAGUCUGAUGGAGCAACGCCGCGUGAGUGAAGAAGGUUCUCGGAUCGUAAAACUCUGUUGUGAGGGAAGAACAAGUACCGGAGUAACUGCCGGUGCCUUGACGGUACCUCAUUAGAAAGCCACGGCUAACUACGUGCCAGCCGCCGCGGUAA